AGAGUUUGAUCAUGGCUCAGGAUGAACGCUAGCUACAGGCUUAACACAUGCAAGUCGAGGGGCAGCAUGUUGGUUGCUUGCAACCAACGAUGGCGACCGGCGCACGGGCGAGUAACGCGUAUCCAACCUACCCUUGUCCAUCGGAUAACCCGUCGAAAGGCGGCCUAACACGAUAUGCGGUUCACAGCAGGCAUCUAACGUGAACGAAAUGUAAAGGAGAAGGAUGGGGAUGCGUCUGAUUAGCUUGUUGGCGGGGUAACGCCACAAGGCUACGAUCAGUAGGGGUUCUGAGAGGAAGGUCCCCCCANAUUGGAACUGAGACACGGUCCAAACUCCUACGGGAGCA
rnacentral:rRNA from 1 species